AGAGUUUGAUUCUGGCUCAGGACGAACGCCGGCGGCGUGCCUAACACAUGCAAGUUGAACGAAAGAAUUGAAGGCGAAGCAUUUAUGUUUCAACUGAUAUAAUUUAGUAGCGGACGGGUGAGUAACGCGUGAGCAAUCUGGCCUUUACAGGGGGAUAACGCAGGGAAACUUGUGCUAAUACCGCAUAAGACUUAAGGAUCGCAUGAUUCUAGAGUUAAAGGAGAAAUCCGGUAAAGGGGGAGCUCGCGUCAUAUUAGAUAGUUGGUGAGGUAAUGGCUCACCAAGUCUACGAUAUGUAGCCGACCUGAGAGGGUGAUCGGCCACACUGGAACUGAGACACGGUCCAGACUUCUACGGAAGGCAGCAGUGGGAAUAUUGGGCAAUGGAGGAAACUCUGACCCAGCAACGCCGCGUGAGGGAAGAAGGCUUUAGGGUUGUAAACCUCUGUUCUUAGUGAAGAGCAGAAGACGGUAACUAAGAAGAAAGCCCCGGCUAACUACGUGCCAGCAGCCGCGGUAAUACGUAGGGGGCGAGCGUUGUCCGGAAUAAUUGGGCGUAAAGGGCGCGUAGGCGGCCAUUUAAGUCUGAAGUGAAAGUCCCAUUUUCAAGAUGGGAAUUGCUUUGGAAACUGAGUGGCUUGAGUGCAGGAGAGGUUAGUGGAAUUCCCAGUGUAGCGGUGAAAUGCGUAGAGAUUGGGAGGAACACCAGUGGCGAAGGCGACUAACUGGACUGUAACUGACGUUGAGGCGCGAAAGUGUGGGGAGCGAACAGGAUUAGAUACCCUGGUAGUCCACACUGUAAACGAUGAAUGCUAGGUGUAGGAGGUAUCGACCCCUUCUGUGCCGCAGUUAACACAAUAAGCAUUCCGCCUGGGGAGUACGGCCGCAAGGUUGAAACUCAAAGAAAUUGACGGGGGCCCGCACAAGCAGCGGAGCAUGUGGUUUAAUUCGAAGCAACGCGAAGAACCUUACCAGGUCUUGACAUCCAAUAAAGCCUGUAGAGAUACAGAGUGCCUUCGGGCAUAUUGAGACAGGUGGUGCAUGGUUGUCGUCAGCUCGUGUCGUGAGAUGUUGGGUUAAGUCCCGCAACGAGCGCAACCCUUGUUAUUAGUUACUAACACGUCAAGGUGAGGACUCUAAUGAGACUGCCGGGGAUAACUCGGAGGAAGAUGGGGACGACGUCAAAUCAUCAUGCCCCUUAUGACCUGUCUACACACGUGCUACAAUGGCCACUACAGAGAGAAGCGAACCCGCGAGGGGGAGCCAAUCUCACAAAAGUGGUCUCAGUUCGGAUUGUAGGCUGCAACUCGCCUACAUGAAGCAGGAGUUGCUAGUAAUCGCGGAUCAGCAUGCCGCGGUGAAUACGUUCCCGGGCCUUGUACACACCGCCCGUCACACCAUGGAAGUUGGGAGCACCCGAAGCCAGUGAGGUAACAGAAAUGAGCCAGCUGUCGAAGGUGAGAUCAAUGACUGGGGUGAAGUCGUAACAAGGUA
rnacentral:rRNA from 1 species